UACUGACGCUGAGCUCGAAAGUAUGGGUAGCAAACAGGAUUAGAUACCUGGUAGUCCAUACCGUAAACGAUGAAUGCUAAGUGUUGGAGGGUUUCCCCAUUCAGUGCUGCAGCUAACGCAUUAAGCAUUCCGCUGGGGAGUACGGCCGCAAGGCUGAAACUCAAAGGAAUUGACGGGGGCCCGCACAAGCGGUGGAGCAUGUGGUUUAAUUCGAAGCUACGCGAAGAACCUUACCAGGUCUUGACAUACUAUGCAAAUCUAAGAGAUUAGACGUUCCCUUCGGGGACAUGGGUACAGGUGGUGCAUGGUUGUCGUCAGCUCGUGUCGUGAGAUGUUGGGUUAAGUCCCGCAACGAGCGCAACCCUUAUUAUCAGUUGCCAGCAUUAAGUUGGGCACUCUGGUGAGACUGCCGGUGACAAACCGGAGGAAGGUGGGGAUGACGUCAAAUCAUCAUGCCCCUUAUGACCUGGGCUACACACGUGCUACAAUGGAUGGUACAACGAGUUGCGAACUCGCGAGAGUAAGCUAAUCUCUUAAAGCCAUUCUCAGUUCGGAUUGUAGGCUGCAACUCGCCUACAUGAAGUCGGAAUCGCUAGUAAUCGCGGAUCAGCAUGCCGCGGUGAAUACGUUCCCGGGCCUUGUACACACCGCCCGUCACACCAUGAGAGUUUGUAACACCCAAAGUCGGUGGGGUAACCUUUAGGAACCAGCCGCCUAAGGUGGGACAGAUGAUUAGGGUGAAGUCGUAACAAGGUAACCA
rnacentral:rRNA from 1 species